rnacentral:ncRNA from 1 species
UUUUAUAUAUUAAUUUAUUAUUUUUUUAUAUUUUAAAUAAAGUUUUAUUUUGGCUUGAAAUUUUAAUUUAUCAUUAUUUUAUAUGUAAAAAUUAUAUUAAAAAUAAAAUUCUUGCAGUUUUUAAUAUUAAAAAAUUAUUAAGGUGAGUUUUAGUAAUUGGUUAAAGAUUUGAUAAAAUUUGUGCCAGCAAUUGCGGUUAUACAAAUAAUUCAAUUAAAAUUUAUUGGUUAAUAAUUAAUUUAUUUAUAAAGAUUUAUAAUUGGAAUUUUUAAGUGAAAUUUAAAUUUCAAUUUACUUUUAUUAUUAUUAUUUGAAGUUAUUAAAAUUAAAAUUAAACUAGGAUUAGAUACCCUAUUAUUAUAAUUGUAAAUUUAAAUGCUUGAUUAGUAUUAGUUAUUUUCUUAAAAAUUAAAAAAUUUGGCGGUAUUUUAGUCUAUUCAGAGGAACCUGUUCUAUAAUUGAUAGUCCACGAUUAGUUUCACUUUUUUUAUGCUUGUAUAUCGUUGUUUUUGAAUAUUUUAUAAGAAUUAUAAUUUUCAAUAAGUAUAUUUUAGUUUAUUUCAGAUCAAGGUGCAGUUUAUAGGAAAGAAGAAAUGGGUUACAUUAAAUUUAUUUUUGGUUUAUUAUCUUAAUAGGUUUUAUUAAAUUGGAUUUGAUAGUAAUAAUAUACAUAUAUAUAUUAUGAUUUUAGCUCUAAAGUGUGUACAUAUUGCCCGUCACUCUCAUUAUUUUGGGAUAAGUCGUAACAAAGUAGAUUUACUGGAAAGUGUAUCUAGGAUUAU